UAGAGGAAGUAAAAGUCGUAACAAGGUUUCCGUAGGUGAACCUGCGGAAGGAUCAUUAAUGAAUUUUGAAAGGGGUUGUAGCUGGUCUUUUCCRAGACAUGUGCACGCCCUGCUCAUCCAUUCUACCCCUGUGCACACUCUGUAGGUCGGUUUUGAAGUGAUUCCUCACGGAAUUGCUCGGGCCUUCCUAUGUUUUYAUACAAACACUUUAAAGUCAAAGAAUGUAAUCGCGUGUAACGCAUUUAAUACAACUUUCAGCAACGGAUCUCUUGGCUCUCGCAUCGAUGAAGAACGCAGCGAAAUGCGAUAAGUAAUGUGAAUUGCAGAAUUCAGUGAAUCAUCGAAUCUUUGAACGCACCUUGCGCUCCUUGGUAUUCCGAGGAGCAUGCCUGUUUGAGUGUCAUGGAAUUCUCAACCCUCUUAUCUUUGUUAUGAGAUGGGCUUGGACUUGGAGGUUAUUGCCGGCUUGUCAUGAGUCUGGCUCCUCUUGAAUUCAUUAGCUUGAACCCUUGUGGAUCGGCUACUCGGUGUGAUAAUUGUCUACGCYGUGUGCYGUGAAGCUUUCAAACACUUUGUUGUGUUGAGGGAUUUGCUUCUAAUCGUCCUUCAAUGGACAAUUUUUGACCUCUGACCUCAAAUCAGGUAGGAUUACCCGCUGAACUUAAGCAUAUCAAUAAGCGGAGGAAAAGAAACUAACAAGGAUUCCCCUAGUAACUGCGAGUGAAGCGGGAAAAGCUCAAAUUUAAAAUCUGGCGGCUUUUGGCUGUCCGAGUUGUAGUCUGGAGAAGUGCUUUCCGCGCUGGACCGUGUACAAGUCUCUUGGAACAGAGCGUCAUAGAGGGUGAGAAUCCCGUCUUUGACACGGACUACCAGUGCUUUGUGAUGCGCUCUCAAAGAGUCGAGUUGUUUGGGAAUGCAGCUCAAAAUGGGUGGUAAAUUCCAUCUAAAGCUAAAUAUUGGCGAGAGACCGAUAGCGAACAAGUACCGUGAGGGAAAGAUGAAAAGCACUUUGGAAAGAGAGUUAAACAGUACGUGAAAUUGCUGAAAGGGAAACGCUUGAAGUCAGUCGCGUUGUCCAGAACUCAGCCUUGCUUUUGCUUGGUGCACUUUCUGGUUGACGGGCCAGCAUCAAUUUUGAUUGUUGGAUAAAGGCWGGGGGAAUGUGGCACCUUCGGGUGUGUUAUAGCCCUCGGUCACAUACAACAGUUGGGAUUGAGGAUCUCAGCACGCCUUUAUGGUCGGGGUUCGCCCACGUUCGUGCUUAGGAUGCUGGCAUAAUGGCUUUAAACGACCCGUCUUGAAACACGGACCAAGGAGUCUAACAUGCCUGCGAGUGUUUGGGUGGAAAACCCGAGCGCGUAAUGAAAGUGAAAGUUGAGAUCCCUGUCAUGGGGAGCAUCGACGCCCGGACCUGACCUUCUGUGACGGCUCCGCGGUAGAGCAUGUAUGUUGGGACCCGAAAGAUGGUGAACUAUGCCUGAAUAGGGUGAAGCCAGAGGAAACUCUGGUGGAGGCUCGUAGCGAUUCUGACGUGCAAAUCGAUCGUCAAAUUUGGGUAUAGGGGCGAAAGACUAAUCGAACCAUCUAGUAGCUGGUUCCUGC
rnacentral:rRNA from 1 species